rnacentral:rRNA from 1 species
CCUACGGGUGGCUGCAGUGAGGAAUAUUGGUCAAUGGGCGCGAGCCUGAACCAGCCAAGUCGCGUGAGGGAAGACGGUCCUAUGGAUUGUAAACCUCUUUUGUCGGGGAGCAAAAGACGCCACGCGUGGCGUUCCGAGAGUACCCGAAGAAAAAGCAUCGGCUAACUCCGUGCCAGCAGCCGCGGUAAUACGGAGGAUGCGAGCAUUAUCCGGAUUUAUUGGGUUUAAAGGGUGCGCAGGCGGAAGAUCAAGUCAGCGGUAAAAUUGAGUGGCUCAACCUCGUCGAGCCGUUGAAACUGGUUGUCUUGAGUGAGCGAGAAGUAUGCGGAAUGCGAGGUGUAGCGGUGAAAUGCAUAGAUAUCACGCAGAACUUCGAUUGCGAAGGCAGCAUACCGGCGCUCAACUGACGCUCAGGCACGAAAGUGUGGGUAUCGAACAGGAUUAGAUACCCUAGUAGUC